AUAUUUAAAUUUUAAAGAUAUUAGUAUUUAUUAGCUAAAAAUUUUGCAAUUCUUACACAUUAAACCUAUUACGUAAUAAUAUUUUACGCCUUUAAAAAAAUUUUUUAAGGUUAGUUUCUCACUUAAAUGCUUUCAGUGAUUAUCUAUUACAAAUGUAGCUACUCGGCUAUGCUAUUGGUAUAACAACCGAUACACCAUAGAUUUGCUUUUCCCGGUCCUCUCGUACUAGGGUUUAAUCCUUUCAAUUUUUAAAAAUUGCGGUAGAUAGGGACCAAACUGUCUCACGACGUUCUGAACUCAGAUCAUGUACCGCCUUUCUUGGCGAACAGCCAAACCCUUGGAAUCACUUUCAAUUCCAGGAUGCGAUAAUCCAACAUCGAGGUGCCAAACCACCCCGUCGAUAAGGUCUCUAGAGGGUGAUUAGCCUGUUAUCCCCGGCGUACCUUUUAUCCGUUGAGCGAUGAUCGUUUCCACACAGAAUCACCGGAUCACUAUAACCGAUUUUCAUCCCUGUUUGAUUUGUCAAUCUUACAGUCAGGCAAAUAUUUACUAUUAUGCUUUUAAAUUGAUAUUUUUCAAUUUUAAUUUACCUUAGCACGCCUCCGUUACUCUUUAGGAGGCGACCGCCCCAGUCAAACUACCCAUUAUACACUGUUUUUAAAUAAUGAGUAAUAAAAAAUUUUUUAAGUGGUAUUUCACUUAAGUUUAAAUAGUUUUCUUGUGAAAAAAUUUACUAACAACUUCCCACUUAUGCUACAUACAAAAUUUUUUAUUACAAUAUAUAACUAUAGUAAAGGUGCACGGGGUCUUUCCGUCUAGCCGCAAUAACUCCGCAUCUUCACGGAGAGUUCAAUUUCACUGAGUUUGUAUUGGAGACAGUAGAACAGUCGUUACGCCAUUCGUGCAGGACACCAAUUAAAUGCCAAGGAAUUUCGCUACCUUUGGACCGUCAGAGUUACAGCCGCCGUUUACUGGGAAUUAGGGUCAAAGCCAAAACUUUUUCCGUUAAUCUUACAGCACUGGGCAGGCGUCAGUCUCUAUACAUCUUUUUACAAAUUAGCAGAGACCUGUGUUUUUGUUAAACAGUCGCUGUUCCCGAUUUUGUGACAACUUUAACAGGUUUCCCUAUUAAAGUUACUCCUUCUCCCUAAGUUACGGAGUCAUUUUGCCGAGUUCCUUCAAUACAAUUCUCUCAAGCGCCUUAAUUUACUAAAUUUGUCUACCUGUGUUGGUUUAGAGUACGAUACAUUAAAACAAACUUAUUACGCUAUUUCUUGAAUAAACUAAAUAACUAUUAUUUUAUCCAUUAAAUAAUAAUUAUUUUUAUUUAUUGUCACGUAAUAAAUAAUUGCAAUAAAAACCCAUCAAAUUUAUUAUUUUCAUUAAAAUUUUUAGGGAUCGAUUAACAUAACCAAGGAGGGUUAGCCUUGCCUUGGAAACCUUAGACUUAAGGCGACAAUGUUUUUACAUUGUUUAUCGCUACUCAUAUCAACAUUUUCACUUCUGAUAUCUCCAAAUUAUGUCACCAUAAUUCUUCUUAAAUUUACAGAACGUUCUGCUACCAUUAUAUAUAAAUAUAAUUUAUCGUUUCGGUAAAUAAUAUAAGUCCUUAUACAUUUUAGACACAAAAAAAUUAAACCAGUGAGCUGUUACGCUUUCUUUAAAGGAUGGCUGCUUCCAAGCCUACCUACCGGUUGUUUCGAUUUUUUUAUUUUCUUUUUCACUUAAUUAUUUUUUAGGACCUUAACGAAUAAUCAGGGCUGUUUCCCUUUUGACUAUGAACCUUAGCAUUCAUAGUCUGUCUAUUUAAAUUCUUUUAUUUUAUAUUCGAAGUUUUAUUAAAUUUGGUAAAGCUUUACGCCCCCCGUAUUUAUUAAGUGCUCUACCUUAAAAUAAAGUAUAUUUAAAUGCUCUACUUAAAUAGAUUUCGCAGAAAACCAGCUAUCUCUAAGUUUGAUUGGCCUUUCACCCCUAACCACAAGUCAUCUCAAUAUUUUUCCACAUAUACGAGUUCGGUCCUCCAAUCAGCGUUACCGCUAAAAAUUCAACCUGCUCAUGGUUAGAUCACUUAGUUUCGGGUCUUAUUUAAGAGACUAAAAUGUUUUUUAACACUCAAGUUUUUUUUGCCUACAUUAUUUUUAAUUUAAGCUCGCCACUUAAAUAAACUAGUUGAUCCAUUAUGCAAAAGGUACGUUGUUACUUUAAAAAGCUUCAACUGCUUAUCAGCAUUAAGUUUCAGGUUCUAUUGCAAAUUCACAAAUUCUAUUUCACCUUUCCUUUACAGUACUAUACACUAUUAAUCAUCAAAAAUUUUAAGACUUUGAGGGUGGUCCCCCAAUAUUCAAACAACACAUGACUUGUAUUAUCCUACUAUUAGUAAAAAUUUAUUUUUAUUUUACAGGGCUUCAUUAAAAUAUUAUGGUACCUUCUAUGGCAAUAUAAAUUUAAAUAAAAAUAUGACAUUUUUAUAGUCUUAUAUGUUGUUUUCGCUCGCCACUACUAACAACUUCUCGGUUGAUUUUUUUAUUUAGUUACUUAGAUGGUUCAAUUCACUAAAUAGUUUUAAUUAUAUAAAAAUAUAAUUUUUGCUUUUAAACAAGCACAGUUUUCUGGAUUGGAUAAUUAUAACUCUCAGCAAUAAUUACUCGUUAUAAUAUUUCGUAUGUAUACGUCCAAUUUUUUGAUGUUUAGGCAUCCUCUUAAUGCUUUAAA
rnacentral:rRNA from 1 species